UGGCUCGCAAUUAACAACCCUAGCGUGAUUUCGUGGACACGUUACCUGGUGAGACCACUGAAUUACCAAAGAUCAUUGUAGCAACAUUUUAUAUGUAUUCUGUAAUAGACCUGCAAUGAUUAAUCUUCAACUAUUUUGAACCCAGAACGGCUUGACGGUGUUCGCCUGGUGGACUCUCUUGAACGCUGUGGUGGGUCUUGGCGUCGUGCUCAAGUACAAAGCUGGUGUGCCGGACCCACUGAUCAGCACCAUCGUCCUCACCAUAGUCUUCUUGUUCAUUAUAAUCUGGUUCAUCCUACAGAUCUUCCUGCUAACCAAGUACAUGCGCUACACAUUCAGCGCUUACGCCAUUCUCGUUCUGGGCCUGGGCGCGAUGUUCACCAGAAGCUAUCGUGUCCACGACCUCGCUGCCAACACAGUCUAUUGUGGGUUACUUAUGCUCCUGAUAACCAUCAUGAGCUUGAUCCAUCUGAUCUCUGCAUGUUUGCACACAGAUAAGUCGAACAAACCUGUCGCCACGGAGCCCAAUGGGACAUUUGAGGGCUUUGAGACAGUCUGGCACACAAACCUCGGAAGUGACGAUGUCAAGAAAGACAUCUGCAAAAUUUGAGUUCAUGUAAUAAAAGAAAACAAUUAAAUAAAUCCACUUAUGUGCACUUUACAUUAAUCACCAAGAGGGGGCAGCAUAUACUCACUUCACACUGAGAAUGUGAUAUGGCAAACGCAGCUCUGUUGUACCAGAAGAUGGCACAGUGGCUCAAGCUUUUAUAGGGAUUAUUUCUAUAUUGAGCACAUGAGUCAAAACUAAAUUUCAUUGAUUAAAAAAAAUUAAAAUAAAAAGAAUACUAUCCAGUGUGGUUCAUACUAUUUUUUGUGUUUUUGAGGCCUAAAUUGAUCUCUGUCUUUGUUCAAAAAUUAAUGCACACUUUAACUUUUAAUAUAAGCUGAACCAGGGUUAUAAAACCAUAAUAGCUUUGUUUUUUUUUACUCAUAAUCAUAAUUAACAACCAUCAAAGUUCGUUAAAAACCCUCUCUGCGUCCCUCUCUGCGUCCCUCUCUGCGUCCCUCACUGUGUCCGUGACGUGAUACAGCAGCAGAGAUAAUCACACAUGCUCAAGUUUAUAAGUGCCCUCUUUCUUGAUGCGGCUUUAAAAGAACGGAAUAUCAAACAUGCCCGAUGGCUGCGAGCACGACCUUUGAUGAGGAUGCGGCGCUGAAUAGAGCCCAACGUCUGAUGAAAGCAGCAGAGAAAAAAAAAAGAAAAGGACAAUAGGGAUACAAUGAAUGUGUCUACGGAUGGACAUGCUGACCGCACAGCCGAGCAAAUUGGUCUCCAUCUACGGCAUGGUUUUGUUCACUGGGACAAAUACAGAAAUUGAAUGCA